AUUGAACGCUGGCGGCAGGCCUAACACAUGCAAGUCGAACGAGUGGCGGACGGGUGAGUAAUGUAUGGGAAACUGCCUGGUGGAGGGGGAUAACUAAUGGAAACGGUAGCUAAUACCGCAUAGCAUCAGCUGUGACCAGAUGGGAGUAGCUUGUUGGUGGGGUAAAGGCUCACCAAGGCGACGAUCCCUAGCUGGUAUGAGAGGAUGACCAGCCACACUGGAACUGAGAAACGGUCCAGACUCCUACGGGAGGCAGCAGUGGGGAAUAUUGCACAAUGGGGGCAAGCCUGAUGCAGCCAUGCCGCGUGUAUGAAGAAGGCCUUCGGGUUGUAAAGUACUUUCAGCGGGUAGGCGUUACCCGCAGAAGAAGCACCGGCUAACUCCGUGCCAGCAGCCGCGGUAAUUC
rnacentral:rRNA from 1 species